NNNNNNNNNNNNNNNNNNNNNNNNNNNNNNNNNNCUCCCAUAGGAUCCUCCAAAGGGUCUGUUUCCGUAGGAUCCCCCAUAGGAUCCCCCGAAGGGUCUGGUCCCAUAGGAUCCCCCCCCAUAGGAUCCCCCAUAGGAUCCCCCGAAGGGUCCUGAUCCCUCCGCAUAAGCUACAGAUCCUCCCCCGCCUUGGGAUCCGGGUCUGCCUGAUCCGGACCCGAUUCCCCCUUGGGAUCCGGGUCUGUGUGAUCCAGAUCCGAUUCCUCCUUGGGAUCCGGGUCUGUCUGAUCCGGAUCCGAUUCCCCCUUGGGAUCCGGGUCUCUGUGAUCCAGAUCCACUGCCCCCUUGGGAUCCGCUGCCCCCUUGGGAUCCAGGUCUGCCUGAUCCAGAUCCACUGCCCCCUUGGGAUCCAGGUCUCUGUGAUCCGGAUCCACUGCCCCCUUGGGAUCCAGGUCUGCCUGAUCCAGACCCGAUUCCCCCUUGGGAUCCGGGUCUGUGUGAUCCAGAUCCGCUGCUUCCUUGGGAUCCACUGCCCCCUUGGGAUCCGGGUCUCCCUGAUGCAUAUCCACCUCCAUAGGAUCCCCCAUAGGAUCCCCCGGAGGGUCCAUUCCCGUAGGAUCCCCCAGAGGAUCCCCCAGAGGGUCCAUUCCCAUAGGAUCCCCCGUAGGAUCCCCCAGAGGAUCCCCCGUCAGAUCCCCCAUAGGAUCCCCCCCCUUGGGAUCCGGGUCUCCCUGAUGCAUAUCCACCUCCAUAGGAUCCCCCGUAGGAUCCCCCAGAGGGUCCAUUCCCGUAGGAUCCCCCAGAGGAUCCCCCAUAGGAUCCCCCCCCUUGGGAUCCGGAGCUGCUCCCGUACGAUCCGGCUCCCCCGUAGGAUCCCGGUCGGUCGCCGUAGGAUCCCGGCGCCCCGUAGGACUCGGCUGCUCCGGCGCCGUAGGUUCCGGGGGGGCCGUAGGAUCCCACCUCGCUGCCGGAGGAUCCCGGAUCGCUGCCGUAGGAUCCGGAGGGGCCGGAGGAUCCGCCCAGCUGGGGGCUGAGGAGCCCGGCGGGAUCCUGGCAGGGAUCCACCCCGGCCG
rnacentral:lncRNA from 1 species